UGAGGAAUAUUGGUCAAUGGACGCAAGUCUGAACCAGCCAAGUAGCGUGCAGGAUGACGGCCCUCCGGGUUGUAAACUGCUUUUAGUUGGGAAUAAAAAAGGGACGUGUCCCUUAUUGUAUGUACCUUCAGAAAAAGGACCGGCUAAUUCCGUGCCAGCAGCCGCGGUAAUACGGAAGGUCCAGGCGUUAUCCGGAUUUAUUGGGUUUAAAGGGAGCGUAGGCGGAUUGUUAAGUCAGCGGUUAAAGGGUGUGGCUCAACCAUACAUUGCCGUUGAAACUGGCGAUCUUGAGUGCAGACAGGGAUGCCGGAAUUCGUGGUGUAGCGGUGAAAUGCUUAGAUAUCACGAAGAACUCCGAUCGCGAAGGCAGGUGUCCGGGCUGCAAACUGACGCUGAGGCUCGAAAAGUGUGGGUAUCAAAACAGGAUUAGAUACCCUGGUAGUCCACACAGUAAACGAUGUAUACUCGCGGUUUGCGAUAGAUUGUAAGCCGCCAAGCGAAAGCAUUAAGUAUACCACCUGGGGAGUACGCCGGCAACGGUGAAACUUAAAGGAAUUG
rnacentral:rRNA from 1 species